rnacentral:rRNA from 1 species
UACAGCCAUAUCACAUUGAAAUGCCAGUUCCUCUAUGAUCACCAAAGUUAAGCAACUUCGAGCCUGGUCAGUACCUAGAUGGGUGACCACUUGGGAAUAUCUGGUGCUGUAAG